CCUACGGGAGGCAGCAGUGAGGAAUAUUGGUCAAUGGCCGCAGGGCUGAACCAGCCAAGUCGCGUGAGGGAUGACGGUCCUAUGGAUUGUAAACCUCUUUUGUCAGGGAGCAAAGGGCGCCACGUGUGGCGCUUUGCGAGUACCUGAAGAAAAAGCAUCGGCUAACUCCGUGCCAGCAGCCGCGGUAAUACGGAGGAUGCGAGCGUUAUCCGGAUUUAUUGGGUUUAAAGGGUGCGCAGGCGGAAUGUCAAGUCAGCGGUAAAAUUUCGGGGCUCAACCCCGUCGUGCCGUUGAAACUGGCGUUCUUGAGUGAGCGAGAAGUAUGCGGAAUGCGUGGUGUAGCGGUGAAAUGCAUAGAUAUCACGCAGAACUCCGAUUGCGAAGGCAGCAUACCGGCGCUCAACUGACGCUCAUGCACGAAAGCGUGGGUAUCGAACAGGAUUAGAUACACCAGUAGUC
rnacentral:rRNA from 1 species